rnacentral:rRNA from 1 species
CCUACGGGAGGCUGCAGUAGGGAAUCUUCCACAAUGGGCGAAAGCCUGAUGGAGCAACGCCGCGUGGGUGAAGAAGGUCUUCGGAUCGUAAAACCCUGUUGUUAGAGAAGUAAGUUCGUGCGAGUAACUGUUCUCGUUUCGACGUUAUCUAACCAGAAAGCCUCGCCAAACUACGUGCCAGCAGCCGCGGUAAUACGUAGGUGCCAAGCGGUAUCCGGGUUUAUUGGGCGUAAGGGGAACGCAGUGGGUCUUUUAAUUCUGAUGUGAAAGCCUCGGCUUAACCGGAGUAGUGCAUUGGAAACUGGGAGACUUGAGUGCAGAAGAGGAGGGUGGAACUCCAGGUGUAGCGGUGAAAUGCGUAGAUAUAUGGAAGAACACCAGUGGCGAAGGCAGCUCACUGAUCUGUAACUGACGCUGAGGUUCGAAAGCGUGGGUAGCAAACAGGAUUAGAUACCCUAGUAGUC